rnacentral:rRNA from 1 species
AAUAGAUACCCUGGUAGUCCACGCCGUAAACGGUGGGCGCUAGGUGUGGGGCACUUUCCACGUGCUCUGUGCCGCAGCUAACGCAUUAAGCGCCCCGCCUGGGGAGUACGGCCGCAAGGCUAAAACUCAAAGGAAUUGACGGGGGCCCGCACAAGCGGCGGAGCAUGCGGCUUAAUUCGAAGCAACGCGAAGAACCUUACCAAGGCUUGACAUAUAGGGAAAUCUCAUAGAGAUAUGAGGUCCGCAAGGGCCCUAUACAGGUGGUGCAUGGUUGUCGUCAGCUCGUGUCGUGAGAUGUUGGGUUAAGUCCCGCAACGAGCGCAACCCUCGUUCUAUGUUGCCAGCACGUAAUGGUGGGGACUCAUAGGAGACUGCCGGGGUCAACUCGGAGGAAGGUGGGGAUGACGUCAAAUCAUCAUGCCCCUUAUGUCUUGGGCUGCACGCAUGCUACAAUGGAUGGUACAGAGGGCUGCGAUACCGUAAGGUGGAGCGAAUCCCACAAAGCCAUUCUCAGUUC